rnacentral:rRNA from 1 species
UACGUAGGCAGCGAGCGUUGUUCGGAGUUACUGGGCGUAAAGAGUGCGUAGGCGGUUUUCUAAGUUUGGUGUGAAAUCUCCCGGCUCAACUGGGAGGGUGCGCCGAAGACUGGAAGACUAGAGUGUGGGAGAGGUAAGCGGAAUUCCUGGUGUAGCGGUGAAAUGCGUAGAUAUCAGGAGGAACACCGGUGGCGAAGGCGGGUCUCUGGGCAGUAACUGACGCUGAGGCAGCGAAGGCCAGGGGAGCAAACGGG